GGGGGGAGGCCGGAUCCUGGCCUGUGUCCUGGCACCCAGUGCUCCCGGGCCUGCGGUGUUGGAUUCGCGAUCCGGCUGUGCAGCCCCCU
rnacentral:pre_miRNA from 1 species